rnacentral:lncRNA from 1 species
GUUUGGUUUCAGAGCCAACUCUUAACCAGAAUCUUCUCCUGGUUCAGGUGAACACUCUCUAAGUGGGAAGGGUAAAGAAUGCAAACUGCCCCCAUUGCUCCUCAAUUUGAGCUUCUUGAGGUUUGGAACUAGAUACUAUAGAAUCAUGGCCUAUGUGUUACAGCCACCAGAUAAAAUAGGAUAAGACCCCUCCUAGGAUAGAGUGCUAACGUGGCAGCCACUGACUAUCUCUCAUGAUAAAGUUUUCUCCAUCUGCUCCCAUCACUUGGAUGUGGAAAGCUAUGGGGUCGCACUGAAAGCAGACGGCAUCCAUAGCAAGAGACUUGGGAAUGAAGUACCAUACUAGAACUUAGUAAAUCUUUGUAAAAAGCCUCCUUUUUAUUAGUCAACCUUGAUUUCCAUGGGAAAGGGGACAUCUUCUAGUGGAAAAAAAAAAGUCUCCUAAGAUUCCAUUAAGCCAACAGUCUCUGUCCUAAUUCACAACAGCCCAGAUCUCUAGGGGACAGGGGAGUGGGAACAAAUCAUUGUGAUCCUGAUGUCACUGUUGCAGGCUUCUCUGGCAUAACCAUCAUUGUCCUUUCAUAAUGUCUCUUAGCUGAACUUGGAGACCUGAAGCUCAGGAAAUUAUUCUGUUAUUAUUUUCUGUUUCUAGCUCCUAGAAUGUGGUUUGGAACAGAACAACCAUCCAUACAUACUUACUACAUGAACAAAUGGAAGAAAGAAGGAGGUCUAGGAAGAAAGGAUGGGAUGUGAGGAGGGGAAGAAAGAAGAGUGAGGAAUGUGGGAGGUGCCUGGAGGGAUGUUGGGGCAGAAGCACAGAGAGGAUCCAGUGGCUGGAUGACCUGGCUACCGCUGACCUCCAGCCCCCACAGAUGCCUGGAUCCCACCCCUAGCCCCAAGCACAGGGACCACCUCACCCCUCAGGCAUUCACAGAACAACACCUUGGACACAAUGAUACUUAUGAGUUGACCAUGGAGAACUAUACAGAUCUUGAACCAGGUCCUGGAAGACAGCAUCUGAAAAGUAUCAUCAGUCACAUGUUACAUACAACGAAGUUGGAGUCCAGUGCAGGCAGGAACCUGCCCAGGGAUUCACGUCUUCUGAGGGCAGAAACAGAAUCUGAAUCAAGAUCUCUCAUAUCCUAGUGCCCG